rnacentral:misc_RNA from 1 species
UUUGGAUAAACAAUUAAAAGAGUGUAUAUAUAUAUAUUCUUGGAUCAUUCUAAACAAUUUACAUAAUUAUUUCAUUUUUCUUGCUAGAAAUUAUUGAGGUAAACUCUAGCUCUUAACACUCACAAACAUAAAUAAAUCUCCUCGCAUCCAAAAUCCUCCAUCAAGCCCCACUAAUGUGGCCGCUUACUAGCAUAAAACUCGUCGAAGCAUCUAUAUAUACCUACCAUUUAUCUUAAAAAAAUAAUUUUUGCUUUUUUUUAAUAGUAUUUUUUUAUUUGCAAAUUUAAAUUUAACUUUUUAUAAAACGAAAAUAUUUUUAUAAAAUUAACAAUCAGAAGUAAUUCCACCAUUACAAUGAUCUACAUCAUCCCAAUGCAUAUAUUAAGAUUAUUAAAAA